CAGAUCUGCUUGCCACUGACCUCUGUGCUGCUCUCUAGGAGGCAAACUCCCAUGGUUUCCCUUGCCCUCUGGUUGGGUUGACAAAUAGGAGAUUAACAGGAGGAGAAAAAGUUCCAAGGCUGGACUCAAAGGAAGCUUAAGACCCAUGCUCACUACAUGCAUUCAGAAAAGAUGCCAUAGGAAAGUCUCUGUUUCUUAUUUGAGGAGUGGGAAAGAAAUCCCUAACAGGACUUGAAUUUCAGUUUAGUAAUCUUCAGCACUCUUUGGGAUUUGAUGAAGUCAACCAUUACUUAAAUUCAAAUGAUAUGGACAGGAGACGGAAAUACUGGGUAAAAGAGGGCGGUUACCUGGCAAAGGCCCCACCCUUAAGCCUGAAGACCUGCAGCGCUAAAUGAGGACAGGCAUUUCUGUUUUCCAGCCUCAAAAUUUUUUUGGCCUGCCAUGCCCCCCAAUUGUGCCCCCAUAUAAACCAGAGACCUUAGCAGGCACACACACAGGCAGCUGAAUGUCUGUCGAGACCAGCAGACCAGCAGAACAGCAGACCAGUGAUGGUAGAAGGAGGUGGCAGAGAAAGGGAGAAGAGGAGGGACAUCUGAACUCCGAGGGGAGUUUGGCCAGGGGUGGUCAGAGAACAGCCACUGGGCAGCCCAACUCCAGGGGAAGACUACUUUCCCACUCCAUCCCCACUUCUGGCUCCCCAUCCACCUUGCUAGAGCCACCUCCACCACUCAAUAAAACCUUGCACUCACCCUUUGAACCUGGGAGUGAUGUGAUUCUUGCAAGAUGCUCGGCAAGAGCUCAGGAUACAGAAGACCGUCACACUGGCCCUCUGCCCUUGAGAUAAGGAAGAGGGUCCAUUGAGCUGAUUAACACACAAGCCUUCUGCAGACGGCAAAUCUGAAAGAGCUUUGUAACACAUGCUCACCUGGGCUUUGGGAGUCGCAGACACCCACCCCUAGAUGCCGUCGUGGGGCGGGAUCGCGAAAGCGCUCACCCGGGCCUCUGCACCUGCCUGUCUGCAUGCUCCCCCUAGGGGUUUGAGCUGUGGGGCAACCAAGCAGGCGAGCAACACCCGUGUCUCACAUCCUGGGAGGGGAAUCAGGAAACUCUCCUGUUUCAACAUAUAUAUUACUGUGAUUGUCA
rnacentral:lncRNA from 10 species